rnacentral:rRNA from 1 species
GACGAACGCUGGCGGCGUGCUUAACACAUGCAAGUCGAACGGAAAGGCCCUGCUUUUGUGGGGUGCUCGAGUGGCGAACGGGUGUGUAACACGUGUGUAACCUGCCCUUGACUUUGGGAUAACUUCAGGAAACUGGGGCUAAUACCGGAUAGGAGCUCCCGCUGCAUGGGGGGGGUUGGAAAGUUUCGGCGGUUGGGGAUGGACUCGCGGCUUAUCAGCUUGUUGGUGGGGUAGUGGCUUACCAAGGCUUUGACGGGUCGCCGGCCUGAGAGGGUGACCGGCCACAUGGGGACGGGGAUACGGCCCAGACUCCUACGGGAGGCAGCAGUGGGGAAUAUUGCACAAGGGGCGGAAGCCUGAUGCAGCAACGCCGCGUGCGGGAUGACGGCCUUCGGGUGGUAAACCGCUUUCGCCUGUGACGAAGCGUGAGUGACGGUAAUGGGGAAAGAAGCACCGGCUAACUACGU